ensembl:snRNA U6 U6 spliceosomal RNA
GUGCUCCCUUUGGCAGCACAUAUAUUAGACUUUGGAAAAUACAGAGAAGAUUAUCAUGGCUACUCCAUAAGGAUAGCACACAAAUUUGUGAAGUGUUCCAUAUUUUU